GCGCAUUGAGACUUUCGCUUUCACCUUGGAUUGUGAAAAAGAAAACAUUUCGCACGCAGAAUUGUGUUGGAUAUUUUCUUUGUGAUGUGUUGAGGGCUGAAGUUUUGUUCCCUUUCCUUGUGGCAGAUUGCUUCAUAAGGGAUGUUUCCAGACAGUAAAAUAUCCUUCAAGUUCUCCUGUGUGUCAUCAAGCGAUCAAUGUGUAACAAGUUGUCUCCCUGUAAUAUAUCUAUUGAGCUGGAGUCAAGCUUGAACUGAAAAGAGAUAUUUAAGGACUUCAUGGAAUUCAGCGACAUCGAGCCAUUGAAGAUCCUGAAGCUUUCAAGUACAAGAUGAUUAAGCUUAGAAAAGUGUGUUGUCUUCUUCACCAUUGACCUGUCUUGCAGAGUGACUUCAGUUCCCAUGAUUUGUUGAGAAACCAGGACAGGGUGAUGAAGAUAAUAUUGGGUACUUGAGGGAGAUGUUGACUUUGUUGAGGAAUUUCCAUGAGAAGUUUGUUAAAGCAAUGAUCAUAUAGUCUACCAAGGAUCUCACAGCUGUGCCAUUCAAAGACAGCAACUCCCAGCUGAAUGACAACAUCAUUGUCAUGAUGUAAUGACAAGAGCCAUGUAGGUUGUCACCGUGGACCAUGAGGAUGAAAUUCAACCAUCAUCACUACAGAGGGCAUUAAGAAAAAUCUACUAUGCAGGACAUCAAAGGUGCUGGCCAAAUUUCUUUUCAAGGAUAUGGUGGUAUUCAACCUUGGCUUCCCAAAUCCAGCAAAUGGAGGAGAUCUACAUGUACCACCAACUGCCCUAACUGUGCUAGCACAGAGAUUCACUUCCCUAGUGCCCCAGGAUCAAUGGGAAUAAAUGAAAGAGGAAUUCAUGGACUACCAAACAACUCCUGCUGUGGACCUCCCAAGUUUUGUGGAAAACACAAAAACAGAUGUCUACUGCAUGGGAUAGAAUUCUGGACAAAAGAAAUAAAAUUUCCAGUGAUUAUUAGGGCUGGGACUAUAUAUAUCGAGAUAUCUGUGAGGACGAUAGGCAUAUCGAUACAUGUGAAGAAAUAUCGAAAUAUUGUCCCAAAAAAUCUGACUUCCAUUUUUAAAUGUUUAUUUAACAUUUGGGGUUUAAUGUAUAAAAUAAUUAAGCUAAAUAUAAAUAUAGAUUUGAAAUAAAU